UACCGCCUCCUGGCCGGCCUCGCGCCUUUCACCGGCACCUUGCGUCGGUCGCGCCGCGGGGCCUGCUCCUGCCGCGCGCACCCCCGGGGCUUCGGCUCCGGCACGGGUCGCGCCCAGCUUUCCUGCCCCUGAGGCCGCCGGCCAGCCGCCGCCAUGGGUGCCUACCUCUCCCAGCCCAACACGGUGAAGUGCUCCGGGGACGGGGUCGGUGCCCCGCGCCUGCCGCUGCCCUACGGCUUCUCCGCCAUGCAAGGCUGGCGCGUCUCCAUGGAGGAUGCUCACAACUGUAUUCCAGAGCUGGACAGUGAGACAGCCAUGUUUUCUGUCUACGAUGGACAUGGAGGUAACUUUAACAGAUCAUAUUGGUAACAUUCUAGGACUCCAAUUCCAGACGUUCCAGGGCAAGAACAGGUCCCUUGUUCAUUUACUUUCCAAGGCCUGGCCCUCAUUAUCAUUUCCUGCCUGGUGCUGUUUUUCUGUAUUCUGUCAUUCUUUUUUCCCAGUAGGUACUGUAUCGGUUUAUAAUCUUACCAGGACUUGUUUUAAUCCAAAGAGCCUCUUUAUCUUUUUUUAUUUUUUUAAUCUUUAUUUUUAUUUUAUUUUUAUUUUUUAAAAUUUAUUUUUAAAAUUUUUAGGCCAGGCGCACGGUAGCUCACGCCUGUAAUCCCAGCACAGUGGAUCACGAGGUCAGGAGUUCGAGACCAGCCUGACCAAUAUGGUGAAACCCCAUCUCUACUAAAAAUACAAAAAUUAGCUGGGCGUAGUGGCGGGCGCCUCGGGAGGCUGAGGCAGGAGAAUUACUUGAACCUGGGAAAUGGAGGUUGCAGUGAGGCAAGACCAUGCCACAGCACUCCAGCCUGG
rnacentral:sRNA from 1 species